rnacentral:rRNA from 1 species
UACGUAGGUGGCGAGCGUUGUCCGGAUUUACUGGGCGUAAAGAGCGCGCAGGCGGUCGAUCAAGUCGGGUGUGAAAGCCCCCGGCUCAACUGGGGAGGGUCACGCGAUACUGUUCGACUCGAAGGCAGGAGAGGGAAGUGGAAUUCCCGGUGUAGUGGUGAAAUGCGUAGAUAUCGGGAGGAACACCAGUGGCGAAGGCGACUUCCUGGCCUGUUCUUGACGCUGAGGCGCGAAAGCUAGGGUAGCAAACGGG